rnacentral:ncRNA from 1 species
UAGGCGGAAAUCGAAAAGCCUUGAAUAGAGUAGGUG